UGCGGGAUAGAGUAAUCUGGUUAACUCUAUAGGCUCAUAACUUAUAAAUUGCAAGUUCAAAUCUUGCUUCCGCUA
rnacentral:tRNA from 1 species